GUCAAAGUCUACGUAGGAAGUCGUAGGGAAGGCAGCGAGGAAGACGCUGGCUCUCGGGUCACGUGAUGCGCCGGGAGCGUCAUCGCCUCCUCCCUCCCCAAGAUGGCGUCCUUGCUGCAGUCGGACCGGGUUCUCUAUCUAGUCCAGGGAGAAAAGAAGGUUCGGGCCCCGCUCUCGCAACUCUACUUCUGCCGCUAUUGUAGCGAACUGCGGUCGCUGGAAUGUGUGUCUCACGAGGUGGACUCCCAUUAUUGUCCCAGUUGUUUAGAAAAUAUGCCAUCGGCUGAAGCCAAACUAAAAAAGAAUAGACUAGGGGAAUGUAUUUUGCGGAGGAGAACCACAGAGAUGUGCCAAUUGUUUUGACUGUCCUGGCUGCAUGCACACCCUCUCUACUCGGGCCACGAGCAUCUCCACACAGCUUCCAGAUGACCCAGCCAAGACCACCAUGAAGAAAGCCUAUUACCUGGCAUGUGGAUUUUGUCGCUGGACGUCUAGAGAUGUGGGCAUGGCAGACAAAUCUGUAGCUAGUGGCGGUUGGCAGGAACCUGAAAAUCCUCACACACAACGGAUAACCUG
rnacentral:lncRNA from 10 species